AAGUAGAUGUAGUCUUAAAGAUGCCAUUUUGAAACUUGCUAUUUGUGUUUCCACUGGACAAGGAUUCCUAAAUUAGCAGAGAGACCAGGAGAUGUAGGAACAUUUUGCAGCUGAUGGAUUACCAUAAUAUAGAGUAACUACUGAGGUCUUUGUAAGAAGAAUAGAUUCCAGAGUGUAUCAAGUAGUAUCAGCAGUCACAAAGUCAUGUGUUUGUGUGUGUACACAUGUGGCUUUCCAUGCUCUCUGUGAAAUAUCAGAGGCCUCCCUGACUGAGAGAAGAUUAUCGUUCUCUUGAUGGGCCUAGGCCCACCAUGCCUGGCAUAACUAAUUGGCCUGAAGCUCUGCUCCUGCCCUUCUCUGAACUGCUUCUGUCCUGACAGCAUGAAAGUUUCAACAGAGGAGAGAUUCCCUCCCUCUGUCCAAGAACUGCCUAUAGCCAGGUGUUGAGAGCACUUGCUUAUGAGGGUAAGGAAUACAGGUUUGAAUCAACUCAUUCCUAAGGAGAAAUAGAACCCAGACCUGCCACAGCCUGAAUACUCUACCCACUCAGCUUGUGUGAGGUUGGCAGUGGGAUGGAGGCAUCGUCACAACCACUACCUUCUCCUCCUCGUGUCUCAAAGAAAAGUAAGACCAAAGGAACAGGUUGACUACCUAAUUCAUACAAGAGGUUCCAGGCUUUAAUUUCUGAUCUGAUAUAGCCAAUUCUAUGUAGCCUUGAGCUGAGUAUUUAUCAAUGUUUCCCACUAGCUAGUUUAAGUGCUUCAAGGUUCAAUUUUUGGUGCCUGUUCUGAUUCCCCUUCUGAAUCACUGGACUCUCCCCAUGUACUGUAUAGGGGACUUAGGUGCCCAAUUCAGGAUGUUGAUCCAACUCCAGAAACCAGGCGCCAAAAAUUUGUCAUUGUGACAAUUAGCAUUGGAGCACCUAAGUUCCUUUUUGGAUUUGUCAUUGAUUUUAAACAUAAUGUUAAUAAAAAUGAAUAUUGGAUAGCAUCUUCAACAGUCUCUCCCUAAAAAUCCCCCCUUCUCCCUUGUUUAGCUGUCAGUGUCUUGUUUUGUGUGAUGGUAUUAUUUCACUAGCUCCUCAGCUGCCAUUGAAUCUUCAAGGGCAGAUGACACCUGAGUUUGCAAUGUAUUUUUCUUUAUAUAAAACAAUAAACGUCCCUCUCUCUCUCUCUCAGCCUUUCAAUACUUCACCAUUCAAUAUUAAAAAGAGGGGAAAACUUAUCAGAAACAAGCUAAUUUCCACCCGC